AUGACAUUGCAUAGGACAUGGAGUAAAUGGACAUGGCACAUGUAAUUGAAGGCCACUUGAAUGUCGAUGUAUUGCUUAGGUGCAUGUUGUCUCUAUUGGUGGACAGAAAACAUGUCUUGUCCUCUUCGAAACAACCACUUUUGCACACUGAUAAAGAAUUGCAGGGGAAAAUAGCACCUCUCACGCACUCUAUGUUGGCUCAGAAAAUGUAAUACCAGGGGCUACUUCGCGGUGCUUCAUCAUUCUUUUCCAGAGCCUUGAAAGAGCCCUUGUUUUUUUCCCUAUGCUUCCAGCUCGAACAUAAGUGAAAUAGUUACUGUACGUACAUCCUUUUAAACUCUUUUAAAGGCUAGAGAUUCCCACAACAAAAAUACAAAGGUAGAAAUAAUUCCAGUUUUGCAGAACCUGAGAGCCUUCAACAUGAUGAUUGCGAUCCAUUACAAAGAAGAGGCUUCUUUCUUAUUUGAAUUGAAAUAUUUAUUAUUCCAUGCCAACACUUCCAAAUAAGAUAAUUUGGUGGUUCAGACAAAAUUAUGUUUUCAGUUUUACUUAAUUCUAUAUUUGUUGUUUUUGCCUUUAUGUUUACUUCUAGACCCCGACUCAUGUAAUGGACCAGCACUAUUAUUUGUUCACUGUUAUACCUGAUUACUCAACAUAUCAUGGAACACUACAAAUUUUGCCUCUACAAUAGUAAAUAUGCAACAUACUUUAUUGAAUAUUGA